rnacentral:rRNA from 1 species
UACGAAGGGGGCUAGCGUUGUUCGGAUUCACUGGGCGUAAAGGGUGCGUAGGUGGUGGGGUAAGUCGGAUGUGAAAGCUCGGAGCUCAACUCCGAAAUGGCAUUGGAAACUACCCUGCUAGAGGAUUGGAGGGGGGACUGGAAUACUUGGUGUAGCAGUGAAAUGCGUAGAUAUCAAGUGGAACACCAGUGGCGAAGGCGAGUCCCUGGACAAUUCCUGACACUGAGGCACGAAAGCUAGGGGAGCAAACAGG